GGAGGGGCGUUCGUUCUGGGCCUGAACUCGGUUGACCCUCCGCAGUUUCGUCCUCGCUGUCCUGGGCCUCCAUCCUAAGGGAGAGUCCUUGGGCCUCCUGCCUGAAGAUCACCUCUUGGGGCCAUCCUAGCCCCCAGAAGCACCCUCCAGGGAUGAUGGGGCCCCCAGGAACUCUGGCUCCUUCUGAACUGAGCUGUCAGGCUGUCCUGGAUCAACUCCGGC